AGCCGGGCGGUAGGGGUGGGGGGCCCAGACUGCCACCUUGCCUUAUUUGGUCGCCUUCACACCAUCUAGGACCGCCGAGGCCAUUCAUGGAGCCAAGGGCAGGGGAGAGGAUCAGCGGGGGGCUCCCAGACCAUACCCAGACAUGACUGCAUCGUGCCUAUUGAGAAAGAUUGGUUCGCAUCCUAUGAGUGAAUUUUGUUUAGCCUAAGAAUCAGCACCAGAAUCUCGGCACCUGCGUGUUGGCAGCCAGGAGCAGGUGGCCCAGGCCAUGCUGAUGAUGGUCGCAGUGGACUGGACACAGCGGUGGAAGACACAGUUGCACUCCACAGUUUAUUUACAGCAGCUUCCAGAUGACGCUGAUGCUGCCCUUCUGGAACACAGUCUCA
rnacentral:lncRNA from 1 species